CCUGGCGGCAGUAGCGCGGUGGUCCCACCUGACCCCAUGCCGAACUCAGAAGUGAAACGCCGUAGCGCCGAUGGUAGGUCUCCCCAUGCGAGAGUAGGGAACUGCCAGGC
rnacentral:rRNA from 1 species